AUUGAACGCUGGCGGCAGGCCUAACACAUGCAAGUCGAGCGAGCGGCGGACGGGUGAGUAAUGUCUGGGACACUUCCUUUUGGCGGGGGAUAACUACUGGAAACGGUGGCUAAUAUCGCAUACCAUCAGUGGUGCCCAGAUGGGAUUAGCUGGUAGGUGGGGUAACGGCUCACCUAGGCGACGAUCCCUAGCUGGAUUGAGAGGAUGACCAGCCACACUGGAACUGAGACACGGUCCAGACUCCUACGGGAGGCAGCAGUGGGGAAUAUUGCACAAUGGGGGCAAGCCUGAUGCAGCCAUGCCGCGGGUGUGAAGAAGGCCUUCGGGUUGUAAAGCACUUUCAGCGGGGAGGCGUUACCCGCAGAAGAAGCACCGGCUAACUCCGGGCCAGCAGCCGCGGUAAUUC
rnacentral:rRNA from 1 species